AUUGAACGCUGGCGGCAGGCCUAACACAUGCAAGUCGAGCGGAUGAAGGGAGCUUGCUCCUGGAUUCAGCGGCGGACGGGUGAGUAAUGCCUAGGAAUCGGCCGGGUAGGGGGGGAUAACGUCCGGAAACGGGGGCUAAUACCGCAUACGUCCGGGGGGAGAAAGGGGGGGAUCUUCGAACCUCACGCAAUCAGAGAGGCCUAGGUCGGAUUAGCUAGUUGGUGGGGUAAAGGCCUACCAAGGCGACGAUCCGUAACUGGUCUGAGAGGAUGAUCAGUCACACUGGAACUGAGACACGGUCCAGACUCCUACGGGAGGCAGCAGUGGGGAAUAUUGGACAAUGGGCGAAAGCCUGAUCCAGCCAUGCCGCGUGUGUGAAGAAGGUCUUCGGAUUGUAAAGCACUUUAAGUUGGGAGGAAGGGCAGUAAGUUAAUACCUUGCUGUUUUGACGUUACCAACAGAAUAAGCACCGGCUAACUUCGUG
rnacentral:rRNA from 1 species